AUCUUAAUCAGAAAGAUUGAUUUCAGAGCUAUUCUUCGAGCUGUAAUCUGUUAAAUCAGAUGCUUACCAAGCUUGAUGCGACGCUCCCUGAAGUGUUUUGCAAAAACUUUCAGCUCUAACGGAUCAAUGUUGGUGUCGGGAUGCAGGCCAGCGGCUGCGAAAGCCGCCCUGAUGACAGGAUGAUGUACCGCUGAAUGCCCAUGGUGCCCUGCAUCUAGAGUAUGAUUUAGUUUCUUCCGAAUUAUUGAGUAAAUUAUUCCAAAGGUAUCUGAGUUAUUUUAUAAUAUUAUUUAAACUUCAUUUCGAGUUGUCAUUGAAUCUAGAUCUAAAUGAAAACUCGAUAUGAAGUUUAAAUAAUAUUGAAAACUAACUCAGAUACCUUUGCAAACAUAAUCUUAGUAAGGUUAUCUAGCCGAUUGUAUAUUGUAGAUGUAUAGCCUAGAGAGUCCACAGCUCAGAGUCAGUUCAAAUAAAACUACUUAAGUAAAAUGCUCCUCAAUUUCUCAAUUCUUCCCGGACAAUCAUCAUCCAGUUGAAUCGAACCCUAGUCCUAAUCCGAAUCGAAUGACUAAAGAUAAUAGUCGCCCAUAAGAAGAAUGAACUGAAGAUGUUGCUGCUGUCAUAAAUGACCAUGAGCAUCAAGAGAACCCAUAAAUCAGUUGCUCAUUGAGUCUUUUCGUGAAGAGUCGGGAAAAGACACUUAUUUGCAGACAACGAGAAACGGUCAACAGUUAUUUGCGAGCUCUGAUUUUGAUUCAUUCUGAAUAAAAAUUGAGCUUAAUCAGAAAGAGCUAUUCUUCGAGCUGUAAUCUGUUAGAUCAGAUGCUUACCAAGCCUGUGCCGUCGCGCUUUUAAUUCUAACGCAAGCCUCUUCAGAGCUCUGGGAGAAUGGUCAACUAUCGUGGUGACGUUUCGUU